rnacentral:rRNA from 1 species
CCUACGGGUGGCAGCAGUGGGGAAUAUUGGGCAAUGGGCGCAAGCCUGACCCAGCAACGUCGCGUGAAGGAAGAAGGCUUUCGGGAUGUAAACUUCUUUUAUGAGGGACGAAGAAAGUGACGGUACCUCACGAAUAAGCCACGGCUAACUACGUGCCAGCAGCCGCGGUAAUACGUAGGUGGCAAGCGUUAUCCGGAUUUAUUGGGUGUAAAGGGAGUGUAGGCGGGAAAGCAAGUCAGAUGUGAAAACUCAGGGCUCAACCCUGGGCCUGCAUUUGAAACUGUGUUUCUUGAGUGCUGGAGAGGUAAGCGGAAUUCCGGGUGUAGCGGUGAAAUGCGUAGAUAUACGGAGGAACACCGGUGGCGAAGGCGGAUUGCUGGACAGUAACUGACGCUGAGGCGCGAAAGCGUGGGGAGCAAACAGGAUUAGAUACCCUAGUAGUC